UCCGAGUUGACCCCGGCAGUCUCCCAUGAGUCCCCACCAUCACGUGCUGGCAACACAGGACAAGGGUUGCGCUCGUUGCGGGACUUAACCCAACAUCUCACGACGCGAGCUGACGACAGCCAUGCAGCACCUGUGUCCAGGUCCCGUAAGGGAAGGAAUCCAUCUCUGGAAACCGUCCUGGCAUGUCAAACGCUGGUAAGGUUCUGCGCGUUGCAUCGAAUUAAACCACAUGCUCCACCGCUUGUGCGGGCCCCCGUCAAUUCCUUUGAGUUUUAGCCUUGCGGCCGUACUCCCCAGGCGGAGUGCUUAAUGCGCUAGCUGCGGCACAGAGCGGGUUGAAGACCGCCCCACACCUAGCACUCAACGUUUACGGCUGGGACUAC
rnacentral:misc_RNA from 1 species